UUAUGUUAGUGUCUAUAUGUUUACUUGGUGGUGGUCUAGCGUGAGUGACACCUGCAUCUGUAACUUACCCAUUGGAUGUUCUUCGAAAUCACCUGACAACACAGAAAACCACUAGGUAUUACAAGGGCAUCUUUCACACGUUGUCUACAAUUUGUAGAGAAGAGAAUAGUAGAGGAUUGUAUAAAGGCCUUUGGUCCACCUUAUUGGGAGUUGGACCUGAUAUAUCAAUCAAUGUUUAUGUAUAUGAAUCCCUGAGGUCUCAUUGGAAAAUGGAAAGUUGAAUGUCAAACUGUGCGACCAAUGAUUUGAUAUGGUUAAUUCCAGUUGGGUGUGUUAACCUACAGUAAUCAAUCAAGUCAACAAAUAUAACAAUGAUACUUUGUCUUCUGAUUUUUGGUGAUGAUUUUUUUUGUGACUGAACUAUCAGGAGUUGAAGCAUGUGUUCUUUUUUUAUAUGACUAGAUGCAUAUGAACUGAAGCUCCAUAAUUUUCUUUUCAAGUCGACAUUGGUGGCAACCAAUACAAUUAGCGUUAUUUACAACCAAUGAAGUCUUAUAAUUUUCUUUCUUAGAAAUAUACAGUGACGCUGACUAUCAUUUAGUAGCUCUACAGGCACUAGCCAAAAACAAUAAUGUUUAUUUAUUUAACCACCAAAUAGAACAAUAGGUUAUUCUGCAUUGUGGGUACACAAAUCACAACACUAUAUUUCAGCUGUAGAAAUCUAUGUGGAUGCCUGCUGAUAUUUUAAGCCUACAUAUUGCCGAUUUGGUUUGAGUAAUGCUUGAA